CCUACGGGUGGCAGCAGUGGGGAAUAUUGGGCAAUGGGCGCAAGCCUGACCCAGCAACGCCGCGUGAAGGAAGAAGGCUUUCGGGUUGUAAACUUCUUUUCUCAGGGACGAAGCAAGUGACGGUACCUGAGGAAUAAGCCACGGCUAACUACGUGCCAGCAGCCGCGGUACUACGUAGGUGGGAAGCGUUAGCCGGAUUUACUGGGGGUAAAGGGCGUGUAGGCGGGACUGCAAGUCAGAUGUGAAAACCAUGUGCUCAACCUAUGGCCUGCAUUUGAAACUGUAGUUCUUGAGUAAUGGAGAGGCAGACGGAAUUCCUAGUGUAGCGGUGAAAUGCGUAGAUAUUAGGAGGAACACCAGUGGCGAAGGCGGUCUGCUGGACAGCAACUGACGCUGAGGCGCGAAAGCGUGGGGAGCAAACAGGAUUAGAUACCCUGGUAGUC
rnacentral:rRNA from 1 species